GGUCUUUUGAAGUGCCUGGUGUGACCCAUCUUCCGUGCUUGAAAUCGACGUAGUGGACCCUGGCUAGCAUAUUUUUCCCUGCCAAGAUUAUUGCAAAAAGACGAUGUGGUGGUUAAUAUCGGAAAGAAUGUGUGGUUAAUAUCAGGAAGAACACGUGAAAUGGAGAAUUUCAGGGCUAACAUUUCUUGUUUUGUUUCUGAAAACAUCGGCAUGUCCUAAAAAGUGUCGCCUGUGCCCAUCAUCUCUCAGGCUUGGGAGCAGGACACCGCCGGCUCACUUUAAAGCCAAGGGAAAGAAUUUGGACAACCAACUACGUCUGGAGAAGACACCAAUGUCAGCAGAGCUCCGCUUUCAUCUGUGGGCGAAGGAUUACCUAGAUGCCAAGGCAAGAGACUGAAGACACAAACUGUUUCAGUAUAACAAAGAAAAUAGGCCGGGAGCGGUGGCUCACGCCUGUAAUCCCAGCACUUUGGGAGGCCGAGGCGGGUGGAUCACGAGGUCAGGAGAUCGAGACCAUCCUGGCUAACACGGUGAAACCCCAUCUCUACUAAAAAUACAAAAAAUUAGCCGGGCGCGGUGGCGGGCACCUGUAGUCCCAGCUACUCAGGAGGCUGAGGCAGGAGAAUGGCGCGAACCCAGGAGGCGGAGCUUGCAGUGAGCCGAGAUUGCGCCACUGCACUCCAGCCUGGGCGACAGAGCAAGACUCCAUCUUUAAAAAAAAAACACUACCUAAAAGGGAAGCGCCCCCUGUCCUAUGAUCACGUGACUUGCUUCACCUUGUCAAUCACUUGGAAGAUUCACCCUCCUUACCCUGCCCUCCUUGUCUUGUAUGCAAUAAAUAUCAGUGCGCCCAGCCAUUCGGGGCCACUACUGGUCUCCGUGUCUUGAUGGUAGUGGUCCCCCG
rnacentral:lncRNA from 1 species